rnacentral:rRNA from 1 species
UACGUAGGGUCCGAGCGUUACUCGGAAUUACUGGGCGUAAAGCGUGCGCAGGCGGUUUUGUAAGCCAGAUGUGAAAGCCCCGGGCUCAACCUGGGAACUGCAUUUGGGACUGCAAGGCUGGAGUACGGCAGAGGGAGGUGGAAUUCCACGUGUAGCAGUGAAAUGCGUAGAGAUGUGGAGGAACACCUGUGGCGAAGGCGGCCCCCUGGUUGGAUACUGACGCUGAUACGCGAAAGCGUGGGGAGCAAACAGG